UGGGACAGACCUCUCAGGGCUUGGCUUAAUGAGUUUGGCUGCUCCUACACCGUGGGGUGAGGAUGCUGUUGGAGGGACUUGGGCUGCGCUGAGGAAAUCUCUAUGCAUCUAUCAUAGAGUAACUGUGAACCUGCAAUGGUCAAGGCAACGGGCAGCUGGAGGAGAUGGAUAUGAUAGGGUUGUGUAGGGUGAAAAAGGAGACAGUGGGCCUUUUCAGGAGGUUUUGUGAAUUGCUACUCACAGGUGGCUUGUCUGGAUUGCAUAACAUCAGGCCAUGGCCAAGUGGGCAGCACCAGUGCCCACGUGUGCAUCAAUCCCGUGCCUGUAGCAGUUCCUGUCUGCCAAAGGGCAGGAAGGGCAGAGGUCUUCACCCAGAGACCAGCAAGUGAAGCAGCUGGAUCCACGUUUCAUGUUUAUGGUGUUUUGGCAGCCAUUACCCUGUUUACCAAGACCAGCAGGAAUCUGUCAUCUUGGCUGAGUGUGGCACAACUAGCAACAGUUUGGGGAAAUAUCUACAACUGGUAUAUAGUGAUGACUGCAGAAAAAGACCUGGAUUAUUACACGCCCUUCUGAUACGGCAAUGUUCUAGCAUUAGUGUUGAAUUCUUCCUCCUGCCAUAGGUGAGCCAAGCCAAAGCGGGGAGGUGUGUUACUCCCAUAAAUGCUGUGCAAAGAAGGCAGGGAUUAGCUCACCUGGAACUCACAUCCUGUGCCAGGGACAGUGCUGAGUCACCUCACAGGCACCUCACCCGGCCGUCAGCCAAGAUGCCUCAUGGCACAGACACACCACAGUGUGUGUGUCCUGUCUGCUUCCUGCUCCUGCAUGCUUGGAAGUACUGCCUUGCUCUUUUGCUUGCCCAUUGGGGUUUCCUUCUCUCAAACUUGCGAGAAAUCUUGGAGAUGGUUGCAACUCCUGGGCCAUUUUAUGGGCUUGGGUUUUGAGUGCCUGCAGUCCAAAAGAAAUGGAAGAACAUCUUUUCAACAACUUCCUUGCUAUCUUUCUAACACUCAACCACUUCCUAAGACAAAAACUUGUGUGUGGAUCAUUAUUUCUCUGGGAUUUGGCUGGUAGAGGGGAAUCCUGUAUCCGUAUGUGUGUGCAAGGUAGCACUGUCUUGCUGAACUGGACAUGUCCUGAAUGAUCUUCCUGGGUGGUGGGGACGACUGAUGCUUUGUGCCCAACUGAAUACAGGUGUCAGCUUGUGGAUGGAUUGGCUUGCAUCAGCUGUACACAUCCUUAUCUGCAGGAAGUAAGGAGUAUCUCCGUAAAAUCAUACUAUAAACCAAACCCUCUUCACUUCCCUUUUCAUGAGCUGCUGGAGCAGAAGGGAAAGACAAAGCCUGAGUCACCCAUGAGGAGUCAUCACCUCAUUACUGACAUGAUGAGAAAUCAUAUACAUCCUGUAAAAAGAUGAAUAAAUCUAUGUUCUUCCAUCCCAGUUCUCCUGAGAAGGGGCUGGGUGUGCAUGCCAUACCCAGUUCAGCACAUGCUGAGGUGGUGCCACACAAGCUGGGUUCUGGUUGUGUGCUAGAAGAGAGUCUAGGAAGGAGCUGUGAUGCAUCUGUGUGACACGAGAAAGCUGCCUUGCAUCCCUGUGGGUCAGUUGGCUGUCCAUGGGUUUCUCUGGAUUCCCUCGCCUCCUCUAAGGGGGUCAACAGUUAAGGACAGCCCCUGAAACUGCUGUCUUCUUCUGGGGAUGUGCUUCUGUGGUGUUUUCAACCUGUGCUAUAUGUGAAGCAGGCAGGCUCAGAUCUCUCUACGUAUCACUCAGUUCCUGGGUUUCCCCAAAUAAGACAUGCUAAAAAAAAAAAAAAAAAAAAAAAAAAAACAGUUUCUCACCUUUUGUGUUGGGAGAAUUGCGAGCACUCAGCAUUUUGUAGGAAGUGUUUCACAUCUUGCAGGAGGAAACACUUAGUUACUGACUGCAGCUCAUCAGCACAGAAUGCUGUGAUGUGAUUUAGAAGCUCAUUAGAGACCAUAAUCAUAGCGGCAGAUGUUGGUUGAGAGUAAGAACCAACACAAUGAAAAAUAGGAAGCUUUCUGCUGUGAGGAUGGUCAAAAUUUGAGGUUUUUUUUUUGUUUUUUUUUUUUCUUCCCAAAAUACUGAAGUUUGUGUAUGAUGUGGAAGUUGCUUUCUAGGUUUGGAAAGGUGGUCAGGGUGGGACUCAGCCCCAGGACCUGUGCCAGGUGUCCCAGCCCUUCACAACCCCACUCAUGCAUGUGGGAGGACAGUGGCACCUGCAAGGCUCUGGAAUCAAAGCUCUGAGCUGCUAAGGUGGCACAGAUGAUCCCCAUAAACUGCAACGACAUCGAUCUAAGAUAUGCAUUCUCCCACUAAGGUGAAUACCAACAAAUACAAAUUCCAUGCACUCGCACAGGGUGUGCAAAUGGCUGAGCAGCCGAGGGCUUACAUCUCACAGUUGUUGUUCACAGUUCACAGAAAUGCUGGACGUGGAAUGUGCUUCCAGGUGCAGAGGGAUGAUGGUAUGAAGAUACUUUGGGACCUCUCUUGCAUAAUAUGCCAAUGUUUCCUGCUGUUAAGUGUGUCACCCCAUUAAUGUAAAGAACAAAUACAAAAU